rnacentral:rRNA from 15 species
UCGAUUCAGCGGCGGACGGGUGAGUAAUGCCUAGGAAUCUGCCUGGUAGUGGGGGACAACGUUUCGAAAGGAACGCUAAUACCGCAUACGUCCUACGGGAGAAAGCAGGGGACCUUCGGGCCUUGCGCUAUCAGAUGAGCCUAGGUCGGAUUAGCUAGUUGGUGAGGUAAUGGCUCACCAAGGCGACGAUCAGUAGCUGGUCUGAGAGGAUGAUCAGCCACACUGGGACUGAGACACGGCCCAGACUCCUACGGGAGGCAGCAGUGGGGAAUAUUGGACAAUGGGCGAAAGCCUGAUCCAGCCAUGCCGCGUGUGUGAAGAAGGUCUUCGGAUUGUAAAGCACUUUAAGUUGGGAGGAAGGGCAGUA